rnacentral:rRNA from 1 species
UACGUAGGGUGCAAGCGUUACUCGGAAUUACUGGGCGUAAAGCGUGCGCAGGCGGUCUGCUAAGAGAGAUGUGAAAUCCCCGGGCUUAACCUGGGAACUGCGUUUCUAACUGGCAGGCUAGAGUGUGGCAGAGGGGGGUGGAAUUCCACGUGUAGCAGUGAAAUGCGUAGAGAUGUGGAGGAACACCGAUGGCGAAGGCAGCCCCCUGGGCUAACACUGACGCUCAUGCACGAAAGCGUGGGGAGCAAACAGG